CCCUGAGGCGCUCCGAGGACGCCCACAGACGGCGGGCACAGCCUGGGAGGGGAGCCGUCCCGGGGUAUGUGCCGAGGGCAGGGCCACUCAGGGGUGCCCCCAAUGCUGCAGGACAAACACAACCUUCUCAGCCGCACCCGUCACGCCGCUGGCGCCUCGGCUACUCCCAGCGGCUGCGGGCCGCUCAGCACAGCUUUCCAAAACCACGGAGCACACGCUUUUCACGCCGUUUCAAUCCAAUCGCUGCACUCAUCGGAUCACUGAUUUGCGUUAAGGCAAGGUCGGCCUUGCCUUCAGGGGAAGGUGUGUGGAUAGCAAGCGUACCGCCUUCUGGAGAAGAGAACCUGCCGCAGAACGAAAUGCUGCUGGCUUUGCGGCGCCUGGCGGAGAGAGGGAAGCUGGGCACGCGUGCCGAGCGCCGUGCGCAGCCUGGGGUGAUGCUUCGCGGUGAACGUCGCGGGAAAGUCGGCCUCGGCCUCCUCAAACACACCAGUCAUUCUGGAACCGCAGAGGAAAGACUCCAAGGCAUAACUCUCCCGCAGCUUUAAUCUGGGGAGGGAAACUCGAACGCUAGAUGCGGGCAGCCUCUGUGCGCCAAGACCCGAGGAACCUUCCCUCCCAUCCAGAUGACAUCCCCAGGGAUGGAAGAUGGAUUUAACCAAGGACAAAAAAACAGAGCUCUCAAUAUGAAAACGCUUUUCGUUUUUUCUCCCUCUCCUCCCGAUAAAAGAUACAUAGGGGACGUGAAGUCCUUUCAGCGAUAGAUUCACAGUGGAGAGAUUUUGAAAUGCUAUUUAUUUUUCCCGUCAAAACCUUCCCCGUCUUAUUAUUUUAAGAAAGUAUGAUUGUACCUGAAAAGUAUUUCCCCAUCCGGUCGAAUGUUAAGGAUCCUGCCAGAUAAGGGAAAAACAAGGCCCCCCAAAGGAAGCAUUUUGGGGGAAUUUUCCAGCACUGUCCAGAAGGGAGGAGGUUUAAGUGUUUUUCAAAGUACCUGUUUCAUGAUCUGACAGGCCCAAGAGAAAUAACAGAAGUGUGUUGCUGGCCUGAGAAUCUGGCAAGCGCGCACAAACAGGCCUCGGUAACUGGGUCACAGCACCAGCCCCCAGGAGACCACAGCCAAGGUCAGUCCCUCUUUCCCUCGUAACGUCCAGUGAGGCUGACAUGUCGCACCGGCAGCCUUUCCUGUGUCAUUUACAGGUACUGUUAGCAAAUCACAGCUCUGCGGCCGCUCAGACAGGAUUUCUCAGCAGCCUACGCAGCACACACAAAGGUUUCCGUAACGUUGGAGACCUUUUUUCCCCCUCUUAACACGUUUCCUCCAUGAGUGCUUUUCCCCAAGUCGGGCUGCGUCGUGUCCUAAGGAAGACUCGUCAACUCAACUGGCAGAGGAGCGCCGGCCCCUCCCACGGGCCCGGCGCUGGCUGGCUGCUGGGCACCCAGCUGGGGACGUGACCUGUGACCCGAGGUGGCUCACAGUCUGAUGAGAGGCCUGCUCAGAGGUACUUUCUAGAUGUUAUGAGAAAACAGAUGGCGGCAGCCACACCCAAAUACCCCAAGAAAAUCCCCGUCAGACACUUAACUCCAGAGGGACUUUUCUGGAGAAUCUUCUGUCUUCCGCACUAGACGACCCACCUGAGGACAGCCUGACUCUCCUUGACGCGCGCUUGUGUCCACAGCAUCACCCACAGCGUCUGAAACGUAUUUGUUAAAUGACUGAGAGGACUCAGGGGGCAUGUGGUUUUCAAAAAAUGCUAUAGCUCUUCAGUGGGAAAGAGAGCGCUUGCCGGUAACCUAAGAGAACAGGCAGCAAGGAAGGUCCUCUGCGAGCGGCCUGGAGGUUUCGGGCGGAUGCCCCUCCAGGAGGGGCUUGGGGAGAGCCCACCAGGAAGGGCACCCAAUACACUGAAACCGAGAGAUAAGUGCCCCGCGAUUCCUUGGAUUCCGCUGUAAAGUGCGUGGCGGUCGGCUGCCCUCCUCUGCGCAGCUCCCGCUUUCAGAGAGUUUAGCUUCCGUAGAAGAAAGAGGGGGUGGAGGGCAGGAGGAGCCAUGUGACCAAGAAGGCGGCGGGUGGUUCCCUGUGUCCCAAUAUUCCCCAACAUGGAGAGAAAGACCAGGCUGGUGUUCAGAAAUGAACAUCGGUUCACCAGGAGAUUCCUGGAGUCACCAGUGCUUGUCCAGGAAGCCCCAGCCACCCAAAGGACCCGGCACCAUACCCAGUGAGACGGGCCCAGAGCAGGUGCCCUCCACGGGGUGGCACCAAGAGCCGUGAUGAAGGAGGUAUUUGAGUCCCACAGAAGAAUGCUUGGCAGUGCUGGCCAGUCAGAGGGCCGGGAGCCCCCCGUCGGCUUGCUAAUCUCCCAAGAGCACCCCCCCCCCGCCGUGUAUUCCACGGCAAAAAUGUUGUGACUUCAAGUAUUGCCUUAUGGAGGGGUUUUUCUGGACUGGGGGAUUUCAUAGAAGCUGUGCACAUUUGAAGCUUCAGCUUCACGAAGAGAUUUUUAUUUAGAAAGACUAUUCUGUCAGAGUGUGGAUUUAUGAGACACAGGAGAGGACCAGGCUGGACCUGGAGACACCAGUUAAGAAGCAGUUAAAAUGACGGUGGAGAAGAUAGAGUGAGCCUCCGAAUCCAGGCAGCAGCGGUGCAGCUCAGAAGGGGGCACAUUUACGACACCUUGGCGGGGAACCUGCCCAGCAACUGAGGAAUGUGUGAACACUGCUUCCUGACAUAACUCCAUGUAUCUGCUUCGCAGAGCCAGUCGGCGGUUCUAAGAAAACACUGCGUGUUGCGUUUGUUAACUUCAUUGAGAAAUGAUGGGGACCGUGGUGACCGUCUCCACCUUUGUUGACAGAAAAUACCACCACCGGCUUGCAGCCUCGCCCACUAAUCCCCCAAAGAGCAACCUCCAAACAGAUCUCCGUACUGAAGAUGUGCUGGGUUCCUACGUGAAAAGGGGCUUGAUUUACUUGGUCCAGCUCAGCGUUUCUCGACAGCAGCACUAUUGACAUUCGGGGCCGGAUGACCCUUCCUUGAAGGGGCCGCCCUGUGCACUGUAGACAGAGGCAGGAGAUAGAUGGGCCCCAAGCUAGGCAUUUAUCACUGGCCUCCCGCUUACAUUGCAUGGGGCGGGAAAAAGUGGGCUUCGGGCCGGACACUUACAACUAGCCAUCUGUUUGCACUUCCUGAGACAGGACAUAGAUGGGCUCCAGCUUAGACAUUUACAGUCAGCCUCCUGUUUGCUCUCCAAAAUGGAAGUAACAACAGAAACGGGGUAAAGAGCCAGGCUUUGUCUCCUGCAGGAGCAGAGAGGGGCUAGCCCUUGUCUGAGUACUAGAUCCACAGGUCACAUAAUUCCCAUCCUUGGGGCAAGGGAGACACUGCACAUGCACAGAAAGGCUCCUUGGGGGUCAGAGAGGAGGGGGCACCACCCCAGAAUAGGUGAUGCUAAGGCCGUCCCAUAGGCCUCUGGGCUGAAACCCCAUCUUGGAAAAAAGUUGGGCACGCAUGCUGGGGAGGGUCCUAGGGCAGGGCAGGUGUGCAAAAAGAAACCAGGUAACCGGCCAGAGGUGAGCAGAGACCCGGAAGAAGUGCCCUAUGUAGAUGACCUCACCGCCUCUUUACUGGGCUCCUCCUCGCUAGGCGGGACGCCCCCACCCUUCCUCUCCGGGUGUGCCCCUCUGCCUCGCUGCUGUCUUAACUAAACAAACUGUUUCUCUGUGUGCUCUCCCACCUGUUGUGCUAUGGCUCUAAUAAUAAACUCUGUACCUGUUUUUGCAGUUUUUGCCUCCGUCAGAAAUGCC